rnacentral:rRNA from 1 species
UACGAAGGGGGCUAGCGUUGUUCGGAUUUACUGGGCGUAAAGCGCACGUAGGCGGAUCUUUAAGUCAGAGGUGAAAUCCCCAAGGCUCAACCUUGGAACUGCCUUUGAUACUGGGGAUCUUGAGUCCGGGAGAGGUGAGUGGAACUGCGAGUGUAGAGGUGAAAUUCGUAGAUAUUCGCAAGAACACCAGUGGCGAAGGCGGCUCACUGGCCCGGUACUGACGCUGAGGCGCGAAAGCGUGGGGAGCAAACAGG